rnacentral:lncRNA from 1 species
CAAAGCUACACAAAUGCUCUGAAGAACUUUUACAUUUUGUAAGUGGAGUUAUGCUGCAGGUCAAGUUGCCUAUGACUAACGCACAAGGAUCAAGAAUGCUGACUUAGGAUGUUCCAAGAAGAAGAUGGAAAACAGGGGUAUAAAUUUGGGAAGUUUUAGGUGGUUCAUGAUGGUCAAAGUGGAAAGUGCUUCUGAAGAAUAUUAGAAGAUGAAACCCAAGAGAACACAAUUUCAAGUUACAUAAAAAACAUUCUGGAUGGUGAAGAGCAGGCACAAGAGGCAAACUUUAAUUGAUCCUUAAAAAUAACCACUGCUUCAUGAGGCCAGCAUCAUCCUGAUACCAA